UACGGGAGGCAGCAGUGGGGAAUAUUGCACAAUGGGCGCAAGCCUGAUGCAGCCAUGCCGCGUGUAUGAAGAAGGCCUUCGGGUUGUAAAGUACUUUCAGUCGUGAGGAAGGUGUUAAGGUUAAUAACCUUAGCAAUUGACGUUAGCGACAGAAGAAGCACCGGCUAACUCCGUGCCAGCAGCCGCGGUAAUACGGAGGGUGCGAGCGUUAAUCGGAAUUACUGGGCGUAAAGGGCACGCAGGCGGUUAAUUAAGUUGGAUGUGAAAUCCCCGGGCUUAACCUGGGAAUGGCAUUCAAGACUGGUUAGCUAGAGUCUUGUAGAGGGGGUAGAAUUCCAUGUGUAGCGGUGAAAUGCGUAGAGAUGUGGAGGAAUACCGGUGGCGAAGGCGGCCCCCUGGACGAAACGACUGACGCUCAUGUGCGAAAGCGUGGGGAGCAACAGGAUUAGAUA
rnacentral:rRNA from 1 species